rnacentral:lncRNA from 1 species
UAUUGUGACAAAAAUGCAGUUUAGGCAUAAGACAAUAUUUGUAAUUUAUCGUUGAAUUGUUAUCGAUAAUAAAUUACUCGUUUGAACAAUGCGUUAACGAAUAGUACAUAUAAAAUCAGUCUUUUAUCCUUGGUUGUUAUGAGACGCGUUAAUUGUUGCUAGGGUGCUCUCUUCGAGGUCCGCGCUCUUGGUAUAUAAAGACACCGAUUCAUUGCAAGUCGCUCAUUUAUUAAUUGGCCGUCGAC